GCUUUGGCCAUACCACCUUAGGCACGCCCGAUCUCGUCUGAUCUCGGAAGCUAAGCAGGGUCGGGCCUGGUUAGUACUUGGAUGGGUGACCGCCUGGGAAUACCAGGUGCUGUAAGCA
ensembl:rRNA 5S_rRNA 5S ribosomal RNA